rnacentral:rRNA from 1 species
UAAACGGCGGCCGUAACUAUAACGGUCCUAAGGUAGCGAAAUUCCUUGUCGGGUAAGUUCCGACCUGCACGAAUGGCAUAACGAUGGCCACACUGUCUCCUCCCGAGACUCAGUGAAGUUGAAAUGUUUGUGAUGAUGCAAUCUACCCGCGGCUAGACGGAAAGACCCCAUGAACCUUUACUGCAGCUUUGCAUUGAACUGUGAACCGAUUUGUGUAGGAUAGGUGGGAGGCAGAGAAGAGGCCACGCCAGUGGUCUUGGAGCCGACCUUGAAAUACCACCCUGAUUUGUUUGCGGUUCUAACCACGGACAGUGAUCCUGUCUUGGGACCGUGCAUGGUAGGCAGUUUGACUGGGGCGGUCUCCUCCUAAAGGGUAACGGAGGAGUACGAAGGUACGCUAGGUACGGUCGGAAAUCGUGCUGAUAGUGCAAUGGCAAAAGCGUGCUUGACUGCGAGAGCAACAACUCGAGCAGAUGCGAAAGCAGGUCAUAGUGAUCCGGUGGCUCUGAAUGGAAGGGCCAUCGCUCAACGGAUAAAAGGUACUCUGGGGAUAACAGGCUGAUACCGCCCAAGAGUUCAUAUCGACGGCGGUGUUUGGCACCUCGAUGUCGGCUCAUCUCAUCCUGGGGCUGUAGUCGGUCCCAAGGGUAUGGCUGUUCGCCAUUUAAAGAGGUACGUGAGCUGGGUUUAAAACGUCGUGAGACAGUUUGGUCCCUAUCUGCCGUGGGCGUUGGAAGAUUGACGGGGGCUGCUCCUAGUACGAGAGGACCGGAGUGGACGCACCUCUGGUGUACCGGUUGUCACGCCAGUGGCAUUGCCGGGUAGCUAAGUGCGGAAGAGAUAACCGCUGAAAGCAUCUAAGCGGGAAACUUGCCUGAAGAUGAGUCUUCCCGGAGGUAAAACCUCCCUCAAGAGUCGUCCGAGACCAGGACGUCGAUAGGUCAGGUGUGUAAGCGCUGUGAGGCGUUGAGCUAACUGAUACUAAUUGCUCGUGAGGCUUGAUCCU